CUGUGUGAAGCAAAACAAACUCCCAAACCUCUAACGAAACGGGACACAACAAAUCAAUGGAAACGCCGCGCUGUUAGAGGCAUAUCCAGCAGAAAACAUCACAUCUCUUCAGGGAGAUACGGAGACCCAGCCAGAGAGG